rnacentral:rRNA from 1 species
UACGUAGGGUGCGAGCGUUGUCCGGAAUUACUGGGCGUAAAGAGCUCGUAGGCGGUCUGUCGCGUCGAAUGUGAAAACCCGGGGCUCAACCCCGGGCCUGCAUUCGAUACGGGCAGACUAGAGUUCGGUAGGGGAGUCUGGAAUUCCUGGUGUAGCGGUGAAAUGCGCAGAUAUCAGGAGGAACACCGGUGGCGAAGGCGGGACUCUGGGCCGAUACUGACGCUGAGGAGCGAAAGCGUGGGGGAGCGAUCCGG